UACGGGAGGCAGCAGUGGGGAAUAUUGCACAAUGGGCGCAAGCCUGAUGCAGCCAUGCCGCGUGUAUGAAAAAGGCCUUCGGGUUGUAAAGUACUUUCAGUCGUGAGGAAGGUGUUAAGGUUAAUAACCUUAGCAAUUGACGUUAGCGACAGAAGAAGCACCGGCUAACUCCGUGCCAGCAGCCGCGGUAAUACGGAGGGUGCGAGCAUUAAUCGGAAUUACUGGGCGUAAAGGGCACGCAGGCGGUUAAUUAAGUUGGAUGUGAAAUCCCCGGGCUUAACCUGGGAAUGGCAUUCAAGACUGGUUAGCUAGAGUCUUGUAGAGGGGGUAGAAUUCCAUGUGUAGCGGUGAAAUGCGUAGAGAUGUGGAGGAAUACCGGUGGCGAAGGCGGCCCCUGGACAAGACUGACGCUCAUGUGCGAAAGCGUGGGGAGCGAAAC
rnacentral:rRNA from 1 species